GAUGGAUAUUCAUAGAGAUCGGACACACGUGCAGCUGGAGUAUCUACGAAUCUGUGAUCAUAAAAAAUGGUGAAUAUCUACCCACACCAAGAUAAUGAGAUCCGAUCUCAUACUUGUCUUUUCAUUCUAGAUCAUAUAUAUGUAUUUUUUUUUGGAUUUGGAUAGGAUUAGAUUUGAUCUGAUGUAUGUGGGGUUAAAGGAUUUAAUCCAUUUUAUUUUUUAUUGUGUUUCAAAAAGGUUUUGAAAUUUAUACAUGCUGUCUACCUAAUUUUCUAACACAUACAUCGUAAAGUUUCGAAUAGCUAGAUAACCAAGUGAUUAUGC
rnacentral:lncRNA from 1 species